AUUGAACGCUGGCGGCAGGCCUAACACAUGCAAGUCGAGCGGAUGAAGGGAGCUUGCUCCUGGAUUCAGCGGCGGACGGGUGAGUAAUGCCUAGGAAUCUGCCUGGUAGUGGGGGAUAACGUCCGGAAACGGGCGCUAAUACCGCAUACGUCCUGAGGGAGAAAGUGGGGGAUCUUCGGACCUCACGCUAUCAGAUGAGCCUAGGUCGGAUUAGCUAGCUGGUGGGGUAAAGGCCUACUAAGGCGACGAUCCGUAACUGGUCUGAGAGGAUGAUCAGUCACACUGGAACUGAGACACGGUCCAGACUCCUACGGGAGGCAGCAGUGGGGAAUAUUAGACAAUGGGCGAAAGCCUGAUCCAGCCAUGCCGCGUGUGUGAAGAAGGUCUUCGGAGUGUAAAGCACUUUAAGUUGGGAGGAAGGGCAGUAAGUUAAUACCUUGCUGUUUUGACGGUACCAACAGAAUAAGCACCGGCUAACUUCGUG
rnacentral:rRNA from 1 species